UACGGAGGGUGCGAGCGUUGUCCGGAAUCAUUGGGCGUAAAGGGCGCGUAGGUGGCCCCUCAAGCGUGCGGUGAAAGUCAGGGGCUCAACCCCUGAUCGGCCGUGCGAACUGGGGAGCUUGAGCACUGUAGAGGCAGGCGGAAUUCCGGGUGUAGCGGUGGAAUGCGUAGAGAUCCGAUAGAAGACCGGUGGCGAAGGCGGCCUGCUGGGCAGUAACUGACACUGAGGCGCGACAGCGUGGGGAGCAAACAGG
rnacentral:rRNA from 1 species